rnacentral:rRNA from 1 species
UACGUAGGUGGCAAGCGUUGUUCGGAAUUACUGGGCUUAAAGGGUGCGUAGGCGGCGCGGAAAGUUGGGUGUGAAAUCCCUCGGCUCAACCGAGGAACUGCGCCCAAAACUACCGUGCUCGAGGGAGAUAGAGGUGAGUGGAACUUAGGGUGGAGCGGUGAAAUGCGUUGAUAUCCUAAGGAACACCGGUGGCGAAAGCGGCUCACUGGAUCUCUUCUGACGCUGAGGCACGAAAGCUAGGGGAGCGAACGGG